GCCUAUGGCCAUGCUACCCUGAACAAGCCCAGUCCUAUAUGAUCUUGGAAGCUAAGCAGGAUCGAGCCUGGUUAGUAUUUGGAUGGGAGACCGCAUAGGAAGACCAGGUGCUGUAGGCA
rnacentral:rRNA from 1 species